AUGAUUUAGCUAGAAGGAAAGGUCUCUCUAAAAUGCUGCCCUAGAAUUUUUGAAAGCAAGCACAAAAUAAAAAUACAGAUCAUCUUUUGGUGUAUACAGCCAACAUGCCCAGUUCCAGAUUUAAAGAUAUUGUGAUAUUGCAUGCGGAUUGGGAUGCUUGGUUUUACUGGAUUGAUACAUGAAGUGAUCAGUGCAAAAGAAAUUCAGACCGUCUACUUCUAAAGAAGAACCACCUGCAAUGCCUUGAUUAAGGAUGCUUUCAUGGAAUGUACCGAGCGAUUUUAAAAAAAAAUUAGGACAAUUUUGUACACUGCUGUUAUUCAUCUGAAUCUGGGAGAAUUGAAUGAUACACGUUCAAUAUAAUUGAACUAAUUAAAUUAUUAUGCAUUAAAUUAUACAGCAAUUAAAAUAUGAAUGAAACUUC